rnacentral:rRNA from 1 species
CCUACGGGUGGCCGCAGUGGGGAAUAUUGGACAAUGGGGGGAACCCUGAUCCAGCCAUGCCGCGUGUGUGAAGAAGGCCCUCGGGUUGUAAAGCACUUUCAGUGAGGAAGAACGCCUGGUGGUUAAUACCCAUCAGGAAAGACAUCACUCACAGAAGAAGCACCGGCUAACUCCGUGCCAGCAGCCGCGGUAAUACGGAGGGUGCGAGCGUUAAUCGGAAUUACUGGGCGUAAAGCGCGCGUAGGUGGCUUGAUAAGCCGGUUGUGAAAGCCCCGGGCUCAACCUGGGAACGGCAUCCGGAACUGUCAAGCUAGAGUGCAGGAGAGGAAGGUAGAAUUCCCGGUGUAGCGGUGAAAUGCGUAGAGAUCGGGAGGAAUACCAGUGGCGAAGGCGGCCUUCUGGACUGACACUGACACUGAGGUGCGAAAGCGUGGGUAGCAAACAGGAUUAGAUACCCCGGUAGUC